AAGAGUUUUUAAGCGCCAGAGCCGCAGAUUGGGCGGCUGACGAGGCAGGAGUGCAGAGAGCAUUUUAAGUAUUUUUUUGCUUUCCAUAUCGAAAAUUCGGCGGAUGCUCCUCGCCCUUUCGUUCAGGGUCGCAGGCCUUUUUACAAAACAGAGCGGUCAACGCUCCCGACAAAAGAAAGGCAACGAACGAA
rnacentral:ncRNA from 2 species